rnacentral:rRNA from 2 species
AGCGAACGCUGGCGGCAGGCCUAACACAUGCAAGUCGAGCGCCCAGCAAUGGGAGCGGCAGACGGGUGAGUAACACGUGGGGAUCUACCCAAUGGUACGGAAUAACCCAGGGAAACUUGGACUAAUACCGUAUGUGCCCUUCGGGGGAAAGAUUUAUCGCCAUUGGAUGAACCCGCGUCGGAUUAGCUAGUUGGUGAGGUAAAGGCUCACCAAGGCGACGAUCCGUAGCUGGUCUGAGAGGAUGAUCAGCCACACUGGGACUGAGACACGGCCCAGACUCCUACGGGAGGCAGCAGUGGGGAAUAUUGGACAAUGGGCGCAAGCCUGAUCCAGCCAUGCCGCGUGUGUGAUGAAGGCCUUAGGGUUGUAAAGCACUUUCGCCGGUGAAGAUAAUGACGGUAACCGGAGAAGAAGCCCCGGCUAACUUCGUG